rnacentral:lncRNA from 1 species
GCUGUAAAGUACUAGAUCUUGGAUAAGUCACUGAUCGAUUGUCAAACGGUGCUGUAAAGUGCGAGAACUAGUAGCAAAAGCGGGCUUAAGGAUUUUUGAAAGUAAUAUUCUAUUACUUUACAAUCCCCACUCGCAUAUCAAACUAAAUCUAUUCCUAUAUUCAAUAAAAUAAAUGUAAUAUGCAAAACAGCCGGACAACUGCUACAGCAGCGGCAGUACAAACUGCUCCAGUGGCCCGCCUGUCGUCCAAUAUCAGCAAAUUUGCAAUAAAAUAUUUGUCUGGCCGUCGC